UACGUAGGUGGCAAGCGUUGUCCGGAUUUAUUGGGUUUAAAGGGUGCGUAGGCGGUUCCAUAAGUCAGUGGUGAAAUACGGCAGCUCAACUGUCGAGGUGCCAUUGAUACUGCGGAACUGAGUGUUGAUGAGGCAGGCGGAAUUGACGGUGUAGCGGUGAAAUGCUUAGAUAUCGUCAAGAACACCGAUAGCGAAGGCAGCUUGCCAAGCAACAACUGACGCUCAGGCACGAAAGUGCGGGGAUCAAACAGG
rnacentral:rRNA from 1 species